rnacentral:rRNA from 1 species
UACAGAGGUCUCAAGCGUUGUUCGGAUUCAUUGGGCGUAAAGGGUGCGUAGGUGGCGUCGUAAGUCAGGUGUGAAAUCUCGGGGCUCAACCCCGAAACUGCACUUGAUACUGCGAUGCUCGAGUACUGGAGAGGAGAGUUGGAAAUUUACGGUGAGCAGUGAAAUGCGUAGAUAUCGAUAAGGAAGACCAGUGGCGAAGGCGAAUCUCGUGGAC